CCCUUAGAUGUUCUGGGCUGCACGCGCGCUACACUGAUGCGCUCAACGAGUUUAUAACCUUGUCCGGCAGGAUUGGGUAAUCUUUUUAAAACGCAUCGUGAUGGGGAUAGAUUAUUGCAAUUAUUAAUCUUCAACGAGGAAUUCCUAGUAAGCGCGAGUCAUCAGCUCGUGCUGAUUACGUCCCUGCCCUUUGUACACACCGCCCGUCGCUCCUACCGAUUGGGUGAGCCGAUGAAACUCUCGGAUGUAGGCUAUUCAUAGCCCGCAGAAGAGAUUUGAAUCGUAGCGCUUAGAGGAAGGAGAAGUCGUAACA
rnacentral:rRNA from 1 species